GACGUAGGGGGCGAGCGUUGUCCGGAUUCAUUGGGCGUAAAGCGCGCGUAGGCGGCUAUGCAAGUCGGUUGUGAAAUCCCGGGGCUCAACCCCGGGACUGCGUCCGAUACUGUAUGGCUAGAGGUAGGUAGGGGAGAUCGGAAUUCCUGGUGUAGCGGUGAAAUGCGCAGAUAUCAGGAGGAACACCGGUGGCGAAGGCGGAUCUCUGGGCCUUACCUGACGCUCAGGCGCGAAAGCUAGGGGAGCGAACAGG
rnacentral:rRNA from 1 species